rnacentral:rRNA from 1 species
GAUGAACGCUGGCGGCGUGCCUAAUACAUGCAAGUCGAGCGAACAGACGAGGAGCUUGCUCCUCUGACGUUAGCGGCGGACGGGUGAGUAACACGUGGAUAACCUACCUAUAAGACUGGGAUAACUUCGGGAAACCGGAGCUAAUACCGGAUAAUAUAUUGAACCGCAUGGUUCAAUAGUGAAAUACGGUUUUGCUGUCACUUAUAGAUGGAUCCGCGCCGCAUUAGCUAGUUGGUAAGGUAACGGCUUACCAAGGCAACGAUGCGUAGCCGACCUGAGAGGGUGAUCGGCCACACGGGAACUGAGACACGGUCCAGACUCCUACGGGAGGCAGCAGUAGGGAAUCUUCCGCAAUGGGCGAAAGCCUGACGGAGCAACGCCGCGUGAGUGAUGAAGGUCUUCGGAUCGUAAAACUCUGUUAUUAGGGAAGAACAAAUGUGUAAGUAACUAUGCACGUCUUGACGGUACCUAAUCAGAAAGCCACGGCUAACUACGUG